CCACAGAAUCCACACGACGCUUUUAGUUUUCACUCAGUUCUCUCUUCACCCGUCCGUUCUCCACCUCUGCUCGACGCCACCGCCGGUCGCCCUCGACGCCAUCGCCGGUCUCCCUCGACGCCACUGCUGCUGAUCUCUGCUCGAGGGUCGAGGCCACCUUCGCUCGCCCUCGACGGCACCGCGGCUGACCGUUUGCCCUCGACGGCACCGUCGCUCGCCCUCGACACCACUGCUCGCUGAUCCCUGCUCGAGGCCAACUCCUCUCGCCCUCGACGGCACCGCCGCUAACCUCUGGCUCGCCGCUCGCCCUCGACGCCACCGCCGCUCGCCCUCGACGCCACCACUCGCUGACCCCUGCUCGAGGCCACCUCCGCUCUCCCUCGACGGCACCGCCGCUGACCUCUGGCUCGCCGCUUGCCCUCGACGCCACCGUCGCUCGCCGACCUUUGCUCGACGCCACCGCCGCUCGCCCUCAACGCCACCGAUGACCUCUACUUGGCGAGCCACUGGAGCUGCGCGUCAAUAGUGGGUUUGGUGGCAUUGCUUUGAGCAUGAACAUACUGGGGCAGACACUCAUGGGCCAUGGCGGCUCUUGGAAUGAAUGCAGCCAUAAGUGUGAGGGUGUCAAAUGAACUCGGAGCAGCUCAUCCAAGAACGGCAAAGUUCUCACUCAUAGUGGCAGUGAUCUCCUCAUUCAUGGUUGGUCUGGUCUUGUUGGCGAUCUUGCUUGCCACUCAGGACAUAUAUCCGUCCCUAUUCUCUAGAGAUUUGUAAGGAUGGCGAAAAUCAGUCAUUUAGCACCAUCUGAAAUGUAAAUAUGUUCAUCGAAGGACAACUUGUGAAAAUGAGGACUUACAAGCCUGGUGGUUGUGGUAAAGGUUGUGGUUCCAACAGUACAGCUCCUCCAUGCACUGGGUUGAUAGAGAUGAUGGCUCCAGUUUUCUCCAGUGUUGCCUGGCGCUGUGUAUGGUAUAUGAUUCAGGUGUGCCAUUUUAUUGCGUCUAGUGUUUGUCUUUUUCUAAGACAUCAAAGUGUCUGCUUGUAUAUUGGGGCCAUGUCAAUCAGAAGAGAUCUCUACGUCAGAUAGGUAGGCAUUGAGUUGUGGAAGAUGAUAUCUUUAUCGUAUAGGCAUUGAGUUGUGGAAGAUGAUAUCUUUAUCGUAUGAGUUUGAAUUUGACUUUGAAUUGGAUGCUGUUUGCUAUGGACCAGAAUAAUAAAGUAGGAAACUGCCUCAUUGAUAA